GGUGUUGUGGCUCAGUGGUAGAGUGCUCACCUAGCAUGCACGAGGCCCUGAGUUUGAUCCUCAGCACCACAU
rnacentral:tRNA from 1 species